GAACGUUAGCGCUUUGCGGGUAUUUCGCCGGUGCAGGACUCUAGCACACAGCACCUGCAAACCAGGCUAGGAAGCUGCAGCCUCAGUUAAAGCUUUAUAUGUGAAAUUGUCCAAGCGUCCAGAAAGCAAACAAGCAGCAAGCGGAUCGUGGAGGAAACGCUGGUCGGGACCCCAAUAGCAACCGCUGAAAAAGACUUGCAGCAGUACGGACUUGCACGGAUAAGUGACUAUAUGCCUGGUUUUAACUACUAAAAUCUCAGAAGAAUUAUCCUACAAUUUUAUUCUCCAGUAAUCGUGAUGUGCACAUGCUAAAUUUAAACGUUUGUAAGUACCCAUCUAAUAGCCACCUGUGGUGAACUGUAAAGGGUAACUGCACCAAAUAGUUUUUCUGUUUGUGGAACUACAACUCCCAGUAAAAUACUGCACUAUAUAAAAAAAUCAUCGUUUUUCCUUUUUCAUCAUACUUUUCCCUUGAGCUUUCAAUUAGCGCUGACCUUCAAAGAAAAUUUUGGACUGUUGUUUUGCACUCGAGGAGAAACGAGGAUCAUUGGGUCGGAUAAUCAAGGGGAAGAUUCAGAGACUUUGGUCAUUUAACUUUUUACAAAGUUUAUAUUUCCUAUAUCUCACAGGAUGUUUUAUGAGACACAGCAAAUGGGAAGAAUAACAGAGGCAAUUCAAGUCACACCCUUGGGCAGGGGAGCUUUCUGCCAAGGAAUCAGGAAGUUUGUGAGGGGCUGGGUGAUGGAGAUUUGGUGUGGGGGAAAAACCCCAUAGAAAACCAAGGUUUGUGAAAAUGGAUAUUUAUGGGAUUACUACCCUAAAAUGGGCUAGGUCUAUGCUGCUGAAAGAAAGACCUGUGUAGUCGGUCUGCCAGUGAACCAGACAAAACCUUUUUUUUUUUUAAAUGUACUAUUACCAUUUAUUUCUCUCUUGAAAACCUCUGUUGUGAAUAAAACAGAAAGUUUUGUUUAUAGUUA